UACGGAGGAUCCAAGCGUUAUCCGGAAUUACUGGGCGUAAAGAGUUGCGUAGGUGGCAUAGUAAGCGAAUAGUGAAAUCGUACGGCUCAACCGUAUAUCCAUUAUUUGAACUGCUAAGCUAGAGUAUGAGAGAGGUAGAUGGAAUUCCCUGUGUAGGAGUGAAAUCCGUAGAUAUAGGGAGGAACACCGAUGGCGUAGGCAGUCUACUGGCUCAUUACUGACACUAAGGCACGAAAGCGUGGGGAGCAAACGGG
rnacentral:rRNA from 1 species